rnacentral:rRNA from 1 species
AGAGCGAACGCUGGCGGCAUGCUUAACACAUGCAAGUCGCACGGUCGGGGCAACUCGGCAGUGGCGGACGGGUGAGUAACGCGUAGGUAUCUAUCCAUGGGUGGGGGAUAACGCUGGGAAACUGGUGCUAAUACCGCAUGACACCUGAGGGUCAAAGGCGCGAGUCGCCUGUGGAGGAGCCUGCGUCCGAUUAGCUAGUUGGUGGGGUAAGAGCCUACCAAGGCGACGAUCGGUAGCUGGUCUGAGAGGAUGAUCAGCCACAUUGGGACUGAGACACGGCCCAAACUCCUACGGGAGGCAGCAGUGGGGAAUAUUGGACAAUGGGCGGAAGCCUGAUCCAGCAAUGCCGCGUGUGUGAAGAAGGUCUUCGGAUUGUAAAACCCUGUCGUCAGGGACGAAGGUUGCGGGUUGAACAUUCCCGUAACUUGACGGUACCUGGAGAGGAAGCCCCGGCUAACUCUGUGCCAGCAGCCGCGGUAAUACGUAGGGUCCAAGCGUUGUCCGGAUUUACUGGGCGUAAAGAGCGCGUAGGCGGUCUAUUAAGUGAGAAGUGAAAUCUCCAGGGCUCAACCCGGAAAAUGCUUUUUCAUACUGAUAGACUGGAGGGAUGCAGAGGUAUGUGGGAAUUCCCUGGGUGUAACGGUGAAAUGUGUUGAUAUCAGGAGGAACACCCAUGGCGAAGGCAGCAUACUGGGCAUCAUCUGACGCUGAGGCGCGAAAGCGUGGGUAGCAAACAGGAUUAGAUACCCUGGUAGUCCACGCCCUAAACGAUGGAUACUAGGCGUAAGAGGUAUCGACCCCUCUUGUGCCGCAGCUAACGCAUUAAGUAUCCCGCCUGGGGACUACGGCCGCAAGGUUGAA